GCUCAUUCUGGAAACACCAAAAAAUCAAUCACACUCUCUUAAAAUUCAUAUUCUCGAGAAUCAAGAACUAUACGCAACAAGAGACAAUUAGUGUAGUAGUGUAGUUGUCCCCUACAUGAUCUCAUCGUCAUCGACGAAGAAAAAGUCAGACAAUACAGCAGGAGUCGCUAAUCCAAACGGACAGCCAUGGAAGCCAUUCUGCGAAAUCCAGACCCAUCUUCGCUCGCUUCAGUCUCUGGCGUUAAUCCUCGACGCUGCUGCAACCGCCUCGCCCAUGUCCGGGUUCCCACUGAGGGUUGGGUUAGCCGAAGGAGGAGUAGGAGUAGGUUCUCCGUGUCCUUGACUAUCAGGGCGGUUCAAGAUUCGACUACGAUAGAGGAACUGGAUCCUUUUGAGUUGAAGCUGAAAAACCCGGCCAUCUCAACUUCGUAUCGGAAUCCCGAGCUUCACGAGCCGAAUCAGACCGUGUUGGAUGCUCAGGCUAAGGUCUGCACCGGCCCGACCCAAACCAGACCUCUCAACGAAGACCAAGCAUUCAAAGUCUUCCAAACCAUUCUAAAAUCAGCUAAGGGAGGGCUGAAAGAUGAAGAGGCAGUAUCAAAAGCACAACUUGGGGCUUUUUUUGCUGGAAUGACUAUUAGAGCAAAUACCUUUCCGGAGGCAACACAAUGGAGUGAUGGGGAAAGGCGAGCUAUGGAUGUUUUUUGGCCCCAGUUGAUUCGGGUGCUCCCUCCGGAUAUUAUCUUUAUAGCUGAUCCGGAAGGUUCAUUAAUGGGAAUUGGCAGCUCAAUAGGUCCCCGGUUUGUUGGGAAUAACACUUCUGAAAUGAGACUAGUGGGCGCCUUAAGGGAAGUUUUGGCUGGAGGUCAUCUUGGAUAUGAGGAGGUUCAGGGUGUUCUGAAAGAUGUUCUUCCCCUGCAAAUGGAAGAGGGUGCAUUGUCGGGUGUGAGAGAGUCAUUGCUUUCAGCAUUUCUGAUAGGGCAACGCAUGAACAGGGAGUCGGAUCGUGAGCUGAAAGCUUACUGUCUUGCAUUUGAUGAUGAACUAGGCCCUGCACCUGUUGCUGAUGUUAACUCACUCACCCAUUACGGUGAACCUUAUGAUGGAAACACCCGCUAUUUCAGAAGCACACUAUUUGUUGCUGCUGUUAGAUCCUGCUAUGGUGAAUCUUGCUUGCUCCAUGGUGUGGAUUGGAUGCCACCAAAGGGUGGUGUCACUGAAGAACAAAUGCUGAAGUUCAUGGGUGCAUAUACCCAGUUAUCACCAUUGCAAGCCAAAAAGCUUCUCGAGGACGACAAGGUUGGUUUUGCUUACGUAAGUCAGCGUGAAGCCCGUCCAUCUUUACAUUCUUUAGUUGGAUUGAGGGAACAUAUAAAGAAGCGCCCACCAUUGGCAACUUCAGAAAAGGUUCAACAAAUUGUAAGGGCACAAGGAAAGGAAGCAAUUGUUGCCAGCUUUUAUCAUGAAGGUUAUGAAGAGCCACUACUAAUGCUUAUGAGAAGGAGAGGUGUUCAUUCUGGUUUAGUGGUGAAGGGAGAGGAAGGUGCACUGUCAAUGACCACUAAAUCACGAUCAGUAAAUGCAUCAAAGGGUUUACCGGUGAAUUACUGUUCAGGAUUUCGUUCAGCAAAUAGGACACCUGCUAAUGUAGCUGAUGGUGUAUCACGUGAGAGUUUUAAAUUUGUGGUGAACGCAGAGAAUUAUGGCUUUGAACCCACUGAUACUCCAAGAACUGAUAGAUCGGUUGCAAGGAAUGUAGAACUGGGUUUAGCUGCUUUACGAGGUGAGAAAGGUCCAGCAUAUGAUCGAAUCGUCUUGAAUGCUGGAAUGGUUGACCAUUUCCUUGGAUGUGAAGGUGCCGAAGACAUGUCUGCAGCCCUGGAUAGAGCAAGAGAGGCCAUAGAUAGCGGUAAUGCCUUAAAGCGACUCUUGAGGUACAUACAGAUAUCUAAUAGAGUGCGAUGAAAGUUGAUGCAUACAGUGGUGAACAUUCUUCCGGUUUUUUGCUGCACCUUAUGUUCCAUUCAUAAACCAUGUACACUUUGUUUCACAACUAUGAAAAUGAGAAAAUCAUAGUUACAUAUUUUGUUUUUUUUGUAAAGUAGGUUCUCUCCACUUUGUUGUCAACCUACAAACACGUUUCUGAGUUUUUGACAAAGAUGUAAGUUGUUUCAGGACAGGUUGAAUGGCGUAGAGCUUAUGUUAUUGUUAUCAUGCUUAAGUCCCGGUUUCAUUCUUUAGUGAAUACAGUGUCUGCAGUUGCUAAAGAAAUUUUUAUGAAACA